rnacentral:rRNA from 1 species
GAUGAACGCUGGCGGCGUGCCUAACACAUGCAAGUCGAGCGAUUCUCUUCGGAGAAGAGCGGCGGACGGGUGAGUAACGCGUGGGUAACCUGCCCUGUACACACGGAUAACAUACCGAAAGGUAUGCUAAUACGAGAUAAUAUGCUUUUAUCGCAUGGUAGAAGUAUCAAAGCUUUUGUGGUACAGGAUGGACCCGCGUCUGAUUAGCUAGUUGGUAAGGUAACGGCUUACCAAGGCGACGAUCAGUAGCCGACCUGAGAGGGUGAUCGGCCACAUAGGAACUGAGACACGGUCCAAACUCCUACGGGAGGCAGCAGUGGGGAAUAUUGCACAAUGGGCGAAAGCCUGAUGCAGCAACGCCGCGUGAGCGAUGAAGGCCUUCGGGUCGUAAAGCUCUGUCCUCAAGGAAGAUAAUGACGGUACUUGAGGAGGAAGCCCCGGCUAACUACGUGCCAGCAGCCGCAGUAA